GCACUUGUGUCAGGCUAGAAGACAUCAUUAAGAUAUGCUCAUCUAACCUCUUCUGUAAGCCAGACCAGAGAACAGAACUCUAAUCCCAGCAUCAUUCUUCUUGAGAUGGAGAGCACAGCCUUUAGAAAGACACUACAUUUCAUUUCAAGACUUUUAGUGUCAACAAAUUCAUUAUAUUAUCUGUGGUUCUUAGUAACACAAUGAAGGGACAGCGCCUGGUGUAUAAGGUAUACUCUAG
rnacentral:lncRNA from 1 species